ACAUAGUCCUUGGAAUGAUGCAGAUAAGCUCGUAGCGCAUUUUACGAAAGGAUGGUUUAGAAAAGCAUCGUAAAUGGUAUAUUUCUCCUAACUGAGCCUUUCUGCUGUAAAGGAAUUUUUUUUUAAGCGGUCAAAAUAUUGAACAUAUGCAAACAAAACAAUCAAAUAUAUUGGAAGCCUUACGGAUGAUCGCAUCAAGGCGACCUCGCAGCUGGAAAGAUGGAUUAGACGUCAAACUACUGCCGCCGUUAUUGGGAAAAAGAUCUAGUUUGGGAUGAAGAAGAUUAAGGGGAAGUUAGUGAAGCGUACCUCACAGACUCAACUUCAAGUAAAUCCCCCGUGUGAAGAAGAUUGGACUAAAUAUGAUGAACGGCUCAUUGAAUGUGUGGUGAAUGGAGAUGUGGAAAAACUCAAGUCUACACUUACAAAAAAGGGGACAUCAGCAAUAAAGUUGGGCCCAAAUGGAACAACAGCUCUUCACACGGCCUGUGAGAAAGGAAGUGUUGAGUGUUUGGAGGUGUUACUGCGAGAACAGCCAGACUUAUCAUUUGUAAACAAAGCAGGCUGUAGUCCUCUACACGUGGCUGCAUAUUCUGGGAACUCAGAAUGUGUGAAGAAAAUAUUAGAACGGAAGGUUCAUGUCGGAACUCAGGAUGGUAAAAAAAUGACAGCACUUCACCAUGCAGCUGCCAAAGGCCAGAAAGAAUGUGUUGAACUUCUUCUUAACAGCAAAGCUUCUCUUAAUGGCAAAGACAAGGAUGGAAGAACCCCAUUAUUGAUGGCAAUACAAGGUGCACAUGAAGAUGUUGUCAAGUUAUUACUCAACAGAGGAGCAAAGGUUAACAUAACAGACAAUUCUAAAAAGACUGCACUUAUGUAUGCAUCACUUCUGGGGCUUUCCAUUACCGUAGAGAUGUUAUUAAAAAGGGGUGCCAAUCCACAACUGACUGACAGCAAUGGUCAUACAGCUGAAGAGUUUGCUCCCUUGUGUAAUUACCAAGAUAUCAUUGAUCUUAUGCACAGUGCUCCAUCUGUUGCAAUGUGGGAUGCAGGGGAAACUUCAGAGGAUAAUGAAGCAGAUGAAGAGGACUCCAAUGUUCCAAAUGGUGAGUUAAUAACAGAGUUCAGCAAUAUGGAAGAAUCAGAAGCAGAGACAUCUGUUUCACUACACCAUGAAACAGUGUCAAGUACUACUGGGGUUCCAAGUUCUGUCAACAGUGGUAGUUUAUCACAACAGGAAUCCUUUUCAUCCAAAGCUUCAACAACACUCUCUUCCUCAAGAGCAGCCAACCAAGAUCUCUCUCAAGAUAUCACGGAACUGGAAGAGGAAAAUGAAAUGCUAAACCAAGAAUUAAAUAAACUGAGAGUCCAACACCAGAAGACUCUAGAAAGGCUUCGUGGUCUUGAAGCCAAGCAAGAAAGCAAAGCACCAGUAGUAUCAAAUCAUAUCAAUGGACAUGUAGAGGAAGAAUUAUUAGAAGAAAAAGACAAAAAAAUAGAGGAGCUAGAAAAAGAGGUUGAGAAAUUAAAGGAAGAUUUAACUUAUGAAGAAGAGUCCAGAUGUGAAGCUGAGCAAGAAGUAGAGAAUCUCAAAGCUCAAGUGGCAACACUCCAGGAUGAAAAUCAGAAUGACUUUAACUCCAGUGAAACUGAUGAUGAUAUUGAGUUACCAGGUGUUGAUCAAAACUGGGAUACAAAGAACAACAACAAAAAAAAUACACAGCCGGACCAACUCAUUUCACUACAUGGUCAGGUCACAACUCUUAAACUUGAAAAUGAAAUGCUUAAAGAGCAACUCCAACGGCCUUCUCGAGUCAAUGGGGAUAUGAUUCAUAGCCAGGUUGAUCGCAAUAUACCCACAAUUCCACUUACAGUUUAUCAGCAGCUCAAGGAAUCAAAUGAAGACGAAAUAUUUAAGUUGACGGAAGAAUUGGAAGAGCUCAAGAUAACAAAUGAAUCCCUUCAAAAGUUACCAACAAUGGAUCAUGUCCUCAAUGCGGUCAGCUCAAGACCAAGUCAGGAAAUUCAUUAACUACUACAACAGAACAGCGGUUAAUGGAAGAUUUAAAACAGCUCGAGCAUCAGUUUCAGGAGGCUGAAAGAGAUUACAGAGACACUAUAAACAUGUACAGACUGCAACUUCUAAAUGCAUGCCAG
rnacentral:misc_RNA from 1 species